AGCGAACGCUGGCGGCAGGCCUAACACAUGCAAGUCGAACGGACCCUUCGGGGUUAGUGGCGGACGGGUGAGUAACACGUGGGAACGUGCCCUUUGGUUCGGAACAACUCAGGGAAACUUGAGCUAGUACCGAAUGUGCCCUUCGGGGGAAAGAUUUAUCGCCAUUGGAGCGGCCCGCGUCUGAUUAGCUAGUUGGUGGGGUAAUGGCCUACCAAGGCGACGAUCAGUAGCUGGUCUGAGAGGAUGAUCAGCCACAUUGGGACUGAGACACGGCCCAAACUCCUACGGGAGGCAGCAGUGGGGAAUCUUGCGCAAUGGGCGAAAGCCUGACGCAGCCAUGCCGCGUGAAUGAUGAAGGUCUUAGGAUUGUAAAAUUCUUUCACCGGGGACGAUAAUGACGGUACCCGGAGAAGAAGCCCCGGCUAACUUCGUGCCAGCAGCCGCGGUAAUAC
rnacentral:rRNA from 1 species